AUGCGGAAGAGAUAAAGUGCUGAAAGCAUCUAAGCACGAAACUUGCCCGACGAUGAGUUCUCCCUGAGACUUUAGAGUCUCCUGAAGGAACGUUGAAGACGACGACGUUGAUAGGCCGGGUGUGUAAGCGCAGCGAUGCGUUGAGCUAACCGGUACUAAUGAACCGUGAGGCUUAACCUUAC
rnacentral:rRNA from 23 species